UUGAAGGCAGAGACGAACAUUUUACAUUCUGUCUCAGAAGACAAAGGUGCAACCCAACCCUCCACUGUACAGCUCUCAGGACCAGAGCCUGUCUUCUCCAGACUACAAGAUGAGAACUGCAGUAUGUGCCAUCCUUCUCCUGAUGCUUCUGUGUCAAGGAGAAGCUCUGAGAUGCAACCGCUGCUGGGCGGGUGGGAGCAGAACGUGCACGCCCACAUGGCCACAAACCUGUUGGGGAAAAGAUGAUGUAUGUGCUCUCGUCAAAUUCAGAUCAAGUAUGGUUCGUGAAUGCAUGCACAGGUGGGUGUGUGAGGGAUAUAAGGCAUCACCUGGCAUAUCUGCAAGAUGCUGCAGCACCGACCUCUGCAACUGAGCCUCUUCAUCCCCGGCUGGACCAUCAUCUCUGAUCUAUGGAAGCUUCUCUGUUGGAUCCACUCUGUUGCAUUC